CGUUGCUUCUUUCUGUCCGAGGCUGAUUGGUUGUUUUACUAUGAAGAGGCGGGGUCUCCCGUCAGAGCGGCAAAGGCCAUUCCUCUAGCUAGCUGUCAAUUGUCAGUAAAGAGAAGAGGGUCGGGUCUUGAUUAGGUAGCGCUCGCGCCUAGGAGCUAGUGUCACGUGCAGAAGGCUGAAGAGUCACCUGAUUAGUGAGACUCAGUCUUCUGAGCCACUUCCGCCCUAACCUAGAUGCCAUGGUAACGGGCCUCGGGUGGAGGACGGGGACCCGCUAGCAGCAGCUGGGUCGGGAUUGUUAGCUUGCCAUUCCAAGCUCCUUGAAGUGUUUUCCCUAGGUGUUUAGUCAACUGAAAAGAAAUGCUUUACGGUUCAGCAGAGCCACCAUGCAGGAUGUACUGAGACCAGAGACUGGUCAUGCUUACACUACUAACUCCAACCACAAGUCCACGCCCUCCUCGAGCUCCACUAGUAUGAUGAGCCGCAAGGUGUGCCAGCUGCCCAGGAGCUGUUUUAUCUCUGCCAAGAGCUUCUGAGGCAUCAUCCCAACCCCGAGGUGCUGACACCGAAUUAAGCUGGAGAUUCUUCAGGGGUCAGGUCCUACCGGGCAUUGUGGGCCACAGUGGAGUUUGGAUUGCUUUGAGGUGAGCAAAGCAACCACCAUCAGUAAUGGGACAAGUUGAAAUCAGGUGCCACCUGAUAGGAUGUGCUGAGAGG
ensembl:lncRNA